rnacentral:lncRNA from 1 species
GUUGCUAUUGGCUUGUCUUGGAUCUCACGAUGGGCACUCUCUAUCAUUUGCUGUAAAUGUUUCAUCUCUUGCUCAUAUUGCUCAUAUUGCACCACAGCUUCCUGCAUGAUGUUGCACUGCUGAAUGGCAGUGUGCUGCAGGCGGCUGGCCUCCUCCUGGAGCUGGAGUGCACUGUGACAUAUUGGCAGGCUGGUGACCACCUCUUC